rnacentral:rRNA from 1 species
UUUCGCAAUGCCCGAAAGGGUGACGAAGCGACGCCGCGUGGGUGAGGAAGGCCUUCGGGUUGUAAAGCCCUGUCAGGAGUUAAGAAAUGUAAGUGCGCUAAUACCGCAUUUAUUUGACGAAGGCUCCAAAGGAAGUCACAGCUAACUCUGUGCCAGCAGCCGCGGUAAUACAGAGGUGGCAAGCGUUGUUCGGAAUUAUUGGGCGUAAAGAGCACGUAGGUGGGUUUGUAAGUCAGAUGUGAAAGCCUCCUGUUCAACGGGAGAAUUGCAUCUGAAACUACAGAUCUUGAGUGUAGGAGGGGAGAAUGGAACUUCUGGUGGAGCGGUGAAAUGCGUAGAUAUCAGAAGGAACGCCGGCGGCGAAAGCGAUUCUCUGGCCUAUUACUGACACUCAGUGUGCGAAAGCUAGGGUAGCAAGCGGGAUUAGAUACCCCGGUAGUCCUAGCCGUAAACGAUGGGCACUAAGUAGAGGGGUUUUA